GAUGAAGAACGUAGUGAAAUGCGAUACUUGGUGUGAAUUGCAGAAUCCCGUGAACCAUCGAGUCUUUGAACGCAAGUUGCGCCCGAAGCCAUCAGGUUGAGGGCACGUCUGCCUGGGCGUCACAUAUCGUUGCCCAAUGCCUAUUGCAGUGCAAUAGGAAUUUCUAGGGCGAAUGAUGGCUUCCCGUGAGCGUUGUUGCCUCGCGGUUGGUUGAAAAUCGAGUCCUUGGUAGGGUGUGCCAUGGUAGAUGGUGGUCGAGUUAGAACGAUACCGAUCAUGUGCAUGCUCCCCAAAAUAUGGCCUCUAUGACCAACACGCGUCUUUUGACGCUCAUGAUGAGACCUCAGGUCAGGCGGGGCUACCCGCUGAAUUUAAGCAUAUCAAUAAGCGGAGGA
rnacentral:misc_RNA from 1 species